UGGGGAAUUUUGGACAAUGGGCGCAAGCCUGAUCCAGCAAUGCUGCGUGCAGGAUGAAGGCCUUCGGGUUGUAAACUGCUUUUGUACGGAACGAAACGGCUCUGUCUAAUACAUGGGGCUAAUGACGGUACCGUAAGAAUAAGCACCGGCUAACUACGUGCCAGCAGCCGCGGUAAUACGUAGGGUGCAAGCGUUAAUCGGAAUUACUGGGCGUAAAGCGUGCGCAGGCGGUGAUGUAAGACAGUUGUGAUAUCCCCGGGCUUAACCUGGGAAUUGCAUUUGUGACUACAUCGCUGGAGUGAGGCAGAGGGGGAUGGAAUUCCGCGUGUAGCAGUGAAAUGCGUAGAUAUGAGGAGGAAAACAGAUGGCGAAGGCAAUCCACUGGGCAUGCACUGACGCCCAUGCACGAAAGCGUGGGGAGCAAACA
rnacentral:rRNA from 1 species